rnacentral:rRNA from 1 species
UACGGAGGAUCCAAGCGUUAUCCGGAAUCAUUGGGUUUAAAGGGUCCGUAGGCGGUUUGGUAAGUCAGUGGUGAAAGCCCAUCGCUCAACGGUGGAACGGCCAUUGAUACUGCCAGACUUGAAUUAUUAGGAAGUAACUAGAAUAUGUAGUGUAGCGGUGAAAUGCUUAGAGAUUACAUGGAAUACCAAUUGCGAAGGCGGGUUACUACUAAUGGAUUGACGCUGAUGGACGAAAGCGUGGGUAGCGAACAGG